rnacentral:rRNA from 1 species
UUCCGUAGGUGAACCUGCGGAGGGAUCAUUACUGAGUUUACGCUCUAUAACCCUUUGUGAACAUACCUAUAACUGUUGCUUCGGCGGGUAGGGUCUCCGUGACCCUCCCGGCCUCCCGCCCCCGGGCGGGUCGGCGCCCGCCGGAGGAUAACCAAACUCUGAUUUAACGACGUUUCUUCUGAGUGGUACAAGCAAAUAAUCAAAACUUUUAACAACGGAUCUCUUGGUUCUGGCAUCGAUGAAGAACGCAGCGAAAUGCGAUAAGUAAUGUGAAUUGCAGAAUUCAGUGAAUCAUCGAAUCUUUGAACGCACAUUGCGCCCGCCAGCAUUCUGGCGGGCAUGCCUGUUCGAGCGUCAUUUCAACCCUCAAGCUCUGCUUGGUGUUGGGGCCCUACAGCUGAUGUAGGCCCUCAAAGGUAGUGGCGGACCCUCCCGGAGCCUCCUUUGCGUAGUAACUUUACGUCUCGCACUGGGAUCCGGAGGGACUCUUGCCGUAAAACCCCCAAUUUUCCAAAGGUUGACCUCGGAUCAGGUAGGAAUACCCGCUGAACUUAAGCAUAUCAAUAAGCGGAGGAA